UNUGGUCUGUCACUGACGCUGAGGCUCGAAAGCGUGGGUAGCGAACAGGAUUAGAUACCCUGGUAGUCCACGCCGUAAACGCUGAGUGCUAGGUGUUAGGUCCUUUCCGGGACUUAGUGCCGACGCUAACGCAUUAAGCACUCCGCCUGGGGAGUACGACCGCAAGGUUGAAACUCAAAGGAAUUGACGGGGGCCCGCACAAGCGGUGGAGCAUGUGGUUUAAUUCGAAGCAACGCGAAGAACCUUACCAGGUCUUGACAUCCCGAUGCCCGCUCUAGAGAUAGAGUUUUACUUUUUGUACAUCGGAGACAGGUGGUGCAUGGUUGUCGUCAGCUCGUGUCGUGAGAUGUUGGGUUAANNNNNNCAACGAGCGCAACCCUUAUUGUUAGUUGCCAUCAUUAAGUUGGGCACUCUAGCGAGACUGCCGGUAAUAAACCGGAGGAAGGUGGGGAUGAUGUCAAAUCAUCAUGCCCCUUAUGACCUGGGCUACACACGUGCUACAAUGGUUGGUACAACGAGUCGCAAGCCGGUGACGGCAAGCUAAUCUCUGAAAGCCAAUCUCAGUUCGGAUUGUAGGCUGCAACUCGCCUACAUGAAGUCGGAAUCGCUAGUAAUCGCGGAUCAGCACGCCGCGGUGAAUACGUUCCCGGGCCUUGUNC
rnacentral:rRNA from 1 species